AUUGAACGCUGGCGGCAUGCUUUACACAUGCAAGUCGAGCGGUAACAGGCCUUCGGGUGCUGACGAGUGGCGAACGGGUGAGUAAUGCAUCGGAACGUACCCAGAGGUGGGGGAUGACGCAGCGAAAGCUGUGCUAAUACCGCAUGUGAUCUGAGGAUGAAAGCGGGGGACCGAGCAGCAAUGUUUGGCCUCGCGCCUUUGGAGCGGCCGAUGUCGGAUUAGCUAGUUGGUGGGGUAAAGGCCUACCAAGGCGACGAUCCGUAGCUGGUCUGAGAGGACGACCAGCCACACUGGGACUGAGACACGGCCCAGACUCCUACGGGAGGCAGCAGUGGGGAAUUUUGGACAAUGGGCGCAAGCCUGAUCCAGCAAUGCCGCGUGCGGGAAGAAGGCCUUCGGGUUGUAAACCGCUUUUGGCAGGAACGAAACGGUGUCCGCUAAUACCGGGCGCUAAUGACGGUACCUGCAGAAUAAGCACCGGCUAACUACGUG
rnacentral:rRNA from 1 species